GUGAGAGGCUGCGCUGCAGGCGGUCUCUGGCUGCUGCUCAGAGACGCGGACGCUCUGCACGCGGACGACGCACAUGAAGUGACGCUGGCCUGCCGGGAGGUGGCGCGGGCCAGAGAGAGCGGCUUCAAGAGCUGUACCAUAAACCACACUGAAGUGACUCUCCACGACGACUUUGCUUUAUUCAUGACGCUAGCGAACUCUCGAGGUCCCUGCGCAGCACCCAGUGAUGGAGGAGCCUUCGCGCCUGCCACUCUUUUUAUAAGACGUGCCACCACCAAAACAGUGGACUUUGGUGCCAUCAUUGCACCGAUUUUACGGACUGUUCCUGUUGUUUUGCCAUCCGCCGAAGUGCUACUGAGCAUCGUGCUGGAGAGCAGAGGCUUUCACGUCUCCGCACCGAUGUUGGCCC